ensembl:lncRNA
UUUCUUUUUUUCAUUUGUUCACUCCGAUUCCCAUCUAUUCCCAGGGAAGAAGCCUGUUCUUAUAGAAGAGAAACCACCUGCAAUUAAAGAGCAGAAUGAAGUAUCCCGUGUCAGACUUUCAUCUCUCUCUCCAUCUGCCUCAUGAAAGAGUAACCCAGAAUAGCAUUUUCUUAAAUAAAACUCAGCUCAAAACCACAAUACAUUUUAUUGUGAACCUCACUGCAAGAGCCAGAAAGGAGCAGGUUUCAGGAAAUCAAGCUUCUAGGCAAUCAAAGCAGCUCAUGUCUGCAAGUCAAAAAUGAAAGUGUUCUCCCCUAAGCUAAUUCCCCUUGAAAAGACACUAGACAGAAUCUUCGGGAGGUAGGGAGGUGGAAGAGGUGCUGCAGACCUGCAACAUAAAGAGCUUCUUUCCUACCCCUUUUUCUUCUUGUAAGGGCUUUUGUAGCAGUUUGGAAAUGCAGAUUUGCCGGCAAUGCCAGCACGGCUGUGGUACGCGGCUUACAGACAUCGGCAGAGGGCUGCCAGGUCCCACCUCGGCUUCGCGGCCGCCCCCGGGGAGAGGGGCCAGCACAGAAUCACAGAACUGACUAGGCUGGAAAAGCCCUUCACAUGCGAGAGACCCUUUCCAAGAGGCAGAUGCACGGAUUGAUGGGAGCGCGGCGCGCUUGGCCGGGGAUCCCGGGACAGGUGGCUGCGACUUGCUUUACACUUGGUUCUCAUUAAGGCUCCCAGACACGUCUGACUCGAAGCCAGUAACGGAGCUCGCUCCGAGAUUAUCCGCGGCCGGUCAGAGCUGCGUGUUUCAAUAGAAGAACUGAAGGAGGGGGAGGGAUGUGGCCGGAGGCACCGCGGGGCCGGGACAGCCCCGCCGCAGGCUGCAGACGGGCCGGGAGGGCGAUGCGGGGAGCCGGGCCGGGCGGUGCGGGGAGCCGGGGCGGGACGGGCCGUACCUGGAGGCGGUGGGGCCGGGCGGGGCGAUGCUCCGGGGCCGGGCGGUGGCGGCGGUGGUGGCGAUGGAUCGGAGCGGCGGCGGCGGCCCCAGCCGCUCCCUCCCUCCUGCUCCCUCUCCGACUUCAAAGGGCAGCCAGAAGCGCCGGGGCUUCCAGUGAGGAGGAGCCGCCGCAGUGGCUCCCCCCAGCCCGCGCCGGCCGCUCUUAUAGCGGCAGCGGGGGGGUGGGGGGGGAGCGGGCGGAAUUCACACCUCUCGGCCUGGGAUGCCCCCACCCCGGUUAACCCCUCGCCUCCCCCGGCGCCGGCCCGCGGCCGCCAGCCGGUUUCCUGCGGCGAAGCCGGGGGGCAGAGACGGGGGCUGCCCGCACGCAGCCCGCACCAGCCCGCACGCAUGCGUCCGCCGCACCCGGGAGAUGCGCUGCCCCCGGCCGGGGGGACGGUCCCUGCAGCCCCCAGCCCCGACGGAGCGAGGCGGGCAAAGUACUGCCGGUACCUCGGCUGGAAGUGCGGGAGGGCUGGAGUGCGUCUGCCGGGUUUUUAAUUGCGCUUUCUGCUGAGUAAUAAACCAGAUCCCCGGCACUCUGUUCUUGGUGUCAUUUGCU